rnacentral:rRNA from 1 species
UGGUGUGAAUUGCAGAAUCCCGUGAACCAUCGAGUUUUUGAACGCAAGUUGCGCCCGAUGCCAUUAGGUUGAGGGCACGUCUGCCUGGGUGUCACAUAUCGAAUCCCCUUGCCAAUUUCCUAUUUAUUAGGUAUUGCGUGCAGGGUGAAUAUGUUGGCCUCCCGUGAGCUCUGUCUCGUGGUUGGUUGAAAAUUGAGACCUUGGUAGGGUGUGCCAUGAUAGAUGGUGGAUGUGUGACCCACGAGACCAAAUCAUGUGCAGCUCUAUUGAACGUGGACUCUUUUACCCACAUGUGUUUUAUAACGCUCGUGAUGAGACCUCAGGUCAGGCGGGGCUACCCGCUGAAUUUAAGCAUAUCAAUAAGCGGAGGAAAAGAAACUAACAAGGAUUCCCUUAGUAACGGCGAGCGAACCGGGAUAAGCCCACCAUGAGAAUCGGUCGCCCUCGGCGUUCGAAUUGUAGUCUGGAGAAAGCGUCAA